rnacentral:lncRNA from 1 species
CUAAAGAUGGAAACCCACAGGACUCGGUGGUUCCCAGUGAGCUUCACUGCAUCCGUCCUCUACAUGCUCGACACGCACUAAAGAUGGAGACCCACAGGACUCGGUGGUUCCCAGUGAGCUUCACUGCGUCCGUCCUCCACAUGCUCGACAGGCACUAAAGAUGGAAAUCUACAGGAUUUAACAAAAGGAUAGGAGAGUAGUCACACCACCUCGGAAAGCCCUCCUUUGAAAUCCGACAGUCACAGCUUCAGAAGACUCUGGAUUUCAGGGGAAGCUAUAACUGCUCAGGAAGAAUUCAUGUCCAAAACCACGACUUUCUGGGGAGUCCAAACAUCACAGCCCUUGACAACCGAGUGCUGGAAGAGGCCCUAGAGGUUGGCCAAUUGAUGCCGUCAUCUCAUAACCAAAAGGCAGCCCCAGGAGGGCUGGCAGCGGCCAAGACCACGAGCUAUGCAGUGGUGGAGCUGGGAUUAGAACCCAGAUAUUCUGGUGCCUCUGCCAGGCCCAGAUGCCCCCAGGAAUAGCUGAAGUCCCGGGCUGAGAUACGAGCAGAAGACUUCCAGGCAGAGGAAAUCAGAGCUGGACCUGCCGGUGCCGCCAUCUGUUCUUCAGUGCUGACCUAAGAGUUGGGGGGCCCCGUGGGACUGGGGGAAUCAUCCAGCUGUGGGUUUAUGUUUUACGUGGACUGAAUUCGGUCAAUGUCCCUGACUUUCAGGCUUUGACAGUCAUCCUGUAAUGUUUACCUCUAUCAGAAACCUCAACUGUAUGCUCUUUAAUAUGUUUUAUUAAUAUUAAUAAAGUUAAUUCCACUUAAUCUAA